UCCAGGCGCCUCUGAAAAAGCCUCACCUAUGACUGCAUGAGGCUUGGGGGGGUCAUCUAGACACAAGCCCUAACAGAUGCCAACACAUAAAACUUAUUUACUAGCUUUUAAAAAGUCACACUGUCGGCAAGAUCUUCCUCAUAGUUUCAGGCAAUACUUAAUUCCUAAAUUUGCCUUCCAGAUGUAGGAUUCCUGCUUGUAGCUGCAUGAGAAAUAUGAAGGAAUCCAACCACUGCCAUCCUUGGCUGAGUAGAGGCCACCUGAAGCCUCUGCCGUCCCCUCAGGCAUCGUGGGUUAGUGAGGCCCACUAGCCACAGCUUUUCCCGGUAACGCCAUCCCGUUCUCCAGCCUCCUCCUGGCAGGACCACCGCCCCCUGCAUUUCUCAAGCUUUGUCGCUAGCAGAUAGCCGCAACUCCUCACUGAACGUUUUCCCUCAAAGUGUGCAUCUCAGAGGAGGUCCUGCCUUACAGGUCUUAGUCGAUGUGAAAAGCUCUUGCUCCAGGUUUUAAGACAUUUUCCACGGUACUAAAAUUUAGACAUAGCUGGCCAGAAGUUUGCACGUUUUAUCUUGGCUUUAUUGAUCAAGGCCUCUAGUAUGGGGUGGGGAGCCAAUUUGGAAAUAAUCCUCCCCAGUGAGACAAAUACAAAGGCAAGCCAUCAGUAGUCAUCUGGUUUUUCUAGUUGAAUGGAGGUGAGAAAAAACCAACAAAUAAAUAAAUAUCCAGCAAAUAGACGUGUUGAUAAAUGCAGGCAGGCCUCGUGUAGUGACCAGGCUCAUUCCUGUGCCAGGUCAUUAAUAAACUUCUCUGUGUGAGAAAUUGUACGUAGUACGUACAGUACAAUAUUCAGAACAGAGACAUGGUCAAAGUCAUCUCCAGCUUGACCUUGCUUUUCCUUGCACAACUCUUACAUGCAGGACGUUAAUGAGAGGCGGCAUAAACUACAGUGCUGUGCAGUGCAGCGAGCAGAAGGUACAGUCCUGUGCUGUAGAAGAGGCUGCAAGCCACACUGCUUGUUCCUGCAUCAAAGGUCCGAGUGUGGGUCACAAGUUUGAACAGCUGUGAAACAGUUAAUACCAACACUUAGUAUACAUCUUCUGGAUGGUACUGAAACCUGCCUGUCCUGGAAUAAGGGUAAGCAGAGAAAGAUAAAGCACAGCAAAGCAGUGCUGCAGUGACUACUCCAACGAACACGAGGAAAUGGUUCUACCUCUGCCUGUCUUCUCAUACCCCAGCAAUAACUCAAUCGCUGUCUUUCAGUAAUGUCAUUCCACUCGUGAAGGAGAGCCCCGCGGGUCUUCCUCACCACUGAGCAGUCUCUCCCCUAGUCUGUCGUGUUAUAAAUUCAGUUUCCCACACGUAGUACUUGGAGGGCAGAUCAAGUGUCACAGUGAUUUCUUGAUUUGAAAUCUGACCUGAGCUGAGGAAAACAUGCAGCACCAUAGGGAUGCCUCCGAUCACAAUGGGGCCCCAGCCUCAGGGCCCAGAAAACCUCUGAGAUCCAAGUGUCUUGUAGUGUCUUGGGGUGUGUGACCAUAUUAGAAACAUAUUCUUUGGGGACUCUUGGGUGUAUUUAUUAAAACAUGUUUCUCACAAUGUCCCAGAAACUUAUCCAACAUUCAGAGCUACAAUUAAGUAGUUGAGUGAAAAGAUCCCAGGAAUUCUAGGAAGCAAUGCUUUGGACAAUGUCAAAUGAGAUUCUAAUGAGUGACUCCUUAGAGCGUUUAAUUCACUGAAGUGCAACUUCAUGGGCAGUGUGGAAAGUGGUAUCUGAUGGCUUUAUUGCAGCAUCUCUAUAAAGACUUUAUCAGACAUGAUCUCUUUGAGGCAGGUUAUUUGGACAGUUCUGCAUCGUAUGGGCGUAGUGAGAGAGGAAGACUGUGUCCAUGGUUUUGUACCUUAACGCAUGUUUUAUCCCUUUAUCACUGAAGUCUUUCUCUGUCAUUGUACUGUAUUUCCCAACAAAUAAGACCUACCCAGAGAAUAGGCCCUAGUAUGAUAUUUCAUUGUGCUUGUAAUAUAAGCCCUACCCUCAAAAUAAGCCCCAGUUAAGAUCAUGAGCCAGAUGGGCACAUUUACAGCAUGCAGCCAUUCCAACACAGGACUACUGUUGAAUCAUAAAAUAGUAUUAAUAUACAAUUAAAUAGCAAUAAGUAAUAGUAUUGACAUCAGUACUUAUAAUUGUUUGUAAAUACUCAAGCAGGCAUCUUUGGAGAAGAGGUAAAUGCCUGUGUAAACAGAUGAACUCGAGAUUUACUGCCUAGUGACUAGAGUACAGACACAAUGCACAAAUAACAUACACACUUGAAAUUGAACGGAUAUGGUUGUGUCUAAUAUGAAUCUUCAUAAUUCAGUCUGUCGUGCAUUGUAAGGGAUGUACUUAAUGCAGUCAUAUGAAAUAAAUGUUUUCUGAAUUUGGGUGCCUGCAA